rnacentral:tRNA from 1 species
AAUUAUUUUGUUCUUAUAAGGGUUUUGAAAACCUUUCCCGAGAAAUAAUGUUUCUCAACAAAUUU